UACAGAGGGGGCCAGCGUUAUUCGGAAUUAUUGGGCGUAAAGCGCACGUAGGCGGUUUGUUAAGUCGGAUGUGAAAUCCCUCGGCUCAACUGAGGAAGUGCAUCCGAAACUGGCAGGCUUGAGUACUAAAGAGGGUCGCGGAAUUCCCGGUGUAGAGGUGAAAUUCGUAGAUAUCGGGAGGAACACCGGUGGCGAAGGCGGCGACCUGGGUAGAUACUGACGCUGAGGUGCGAAAGCGUGGGGAGCAAACAGG
rnacentral:rRNA from 1 species